UACGUAGGGGGCGAGCGUUGUCCGGAAUCAUUGGGCGUAAAGAGCGUGUAGGCGGCUUGGCAAGUCUGACGUGAAAGCCCGCGGCUCAACCGCGGAUUGUCGUUGGAAACUGCCUGGCUAGAGUCCGGAAGAGGAGAGUGGAAUUCCUGGUGUAGCGGUGAAAUGCGCAGAUAUCAGGAAGAACACCCGUGGCGAAGGCGGCUCUCUGGGACGGUACUGACGCUGAGACGCGAAAGCGUGGGGAGCAAACAGG
rnacentral:rRNA from 1 species